AGAACGAACGCUGGCGGCGUGGAUAAGACAUGCAAGUCGAACGCGACUUAUCGAGUUAGCAAUAAUUUGGUAAGUUGAGUGGCGAAAGGGUGCGUAACACGUGGGAAAUUACCAAGAAGUGGGGAAUAGCUCGACGAAAGUCGAAUUAAUACCGCAUAUGAUCGCAAGAUCAAAGCCGGGGACCGCAAGGCCUGGCGCUUUUUGAGAUGCCCGCGGCCCAUCAGCUAGUUGGUGAGGUAAAAGCUCACCAAGGCUAUGACGGGUAGCUGGUCUGAGAGGACGACCAGCCACACUGGAACUGAGACACGGUCCAGACACCUACGGGUGGCAGCAGUCGAGAAUUUUUUCACAAUGGACGAAA
rnacentral:rRNA from 1 species